rnacentral:rRNA from 1 species
GAUGAACGCUGGCGGCGUGCCUAAUACAUGCAAGUCGAGCGAACGGACGAGAAGCUUGCUGCUCUGAUGUUAGCGGCGGACGGGUGAGUAACACGUGGAUAACCUACCUAUAAGACUGGGAUAACCUCGGGAAACCGGCGCUAAUACCGGAGAAUAUCUUGAACCGCAUGGUUCAAAAGAAAAAGACGGUCUUGCGGUCAGUUAUAGAUGGAUCCGCGCUGCAUUAGCGAGUUGGUAAGGUAACGGCUUACCAAGGCAACGAUGCAUAGCCGACCUGAGAGGGGGAUAGCCCGCCCUGGAGCUGGGACACCGUCCUGACUCCUGCGGGACGCCGCAGUAGGGAAUCUUCCGCAAUGGGCGAAAGCCUUGCGCAGCAGCGCCGCGUGAGUGAUGAAGGUCUUCCGAUCGUAAUACUCUGUUAUUAGGGAAGAACAUAUGUGUAAGUAGCUGUGCACAUCUUGACGGUACCUAGUCAGAAAGCCACGGCUAACUACGUG